AUUUUUUAAAUAGUAAAUUUUAUUAAGGUUUCUUUAAUUAGAAUUUAAGUCUAUAAAUUAUUAUUUUUUUUUAAAAGUUAGACAGAUUUGUGCUAUGAUUUUUUUAACACAGUUUAAAUUCAAUUAAUAGGUCAAUAAAGGUGCCAGCUACCGCGGUUAUACUUUAUAUUUAGGAUUAAAUAAGUAUAAAAAAUGUUGGGAUUUAAUGGGUGUGGAAUCUGAUUUAGUUUAAAGUUAUGCAAUUGAAAAUUUAGGAAAAAAAUUGGAUUAGUACCCAAGUAUUAAUUAUACGAAGUAAGAGAUUAGUUUAAUACAUUAAUUAAUUAGGCGGUCAGUUUAACAUAGGUAAGCUUGUGAAUUAAAAUGAUAAUACUCACUAAAAUUUGUACUAGUAAUAUAUUGUUGUGUAUAUCCGUAUGUUUUUUCUAUUUUGAUAGAGGAAAAAGAUAAAUGUAGAUGAAUAUUUAAUAAUGCAGGUCUAUAUGCACCUACUACUAGGUUUCAUUAGCUAUUAUAUUUUUAAAAAGAUUAAUGCAGGAUAGAAAAUGCUUAGCCAAACUUAUAAGUAAAAAUAAUAAUAUUGUUUUGAAUUUAAAGGACUGGAGCACUCACUGCCCGCUAUGUGGUAUAACUACGAAGGCGUAACAAGGUAGUUUAUCUAGAAAGAUAAACUGGUAAACAAAUAUA
rnacentral:rRNA from 1 species